rnacentral:rRNA from 1 species
AGAGUUUGAUCAUGGCUCAGAUUGAACGCUGGCGGCAUGCCUUACACAUGCAAGUCGAACGGCAGCGCGGGGGCAACCUGGCGGCGAGUGGCGAACGGGUGAGUAAUAUAUCGGAACAUACCUUAGAGUGGGGGAUAACGUAGCGAAAGUUACGCUAAUACCGCAUACGCACUAAGGUGGAAAGUGGGGGAUUCGCAAGAACCUCAUGCUCAUGGAGUGGCCGAUAUCUGAUUAGCUAGUUGGUGAGGUAAAGGCUCACCAAGGCGACGAUCAGUAGCUGGUUUGAGAGGACGACCAGCCACACUGGAACUGAGACACGGUCCAGACUCCUACGGGAGGCAGCAGUGGGAAUUUUGGACAAUGGGGCAACCCUGAUCCAGCAAUGCCGCGUGAGUGAAGAAGGCCUUCGGGUUGUAAAGCUCUUUUGUCAGGGAAGAAACGGUGAGUUCUAAUAAAGCUUGCUAAUGACGGUACCUGAAGAAUAAGCACCGGCUAACUACGUG